GACCUACGGGAGGCAGCAGUAGGGAAUUUUCGGCAAUGGGGGAAACCCUGACCGAGCAACGCCGCGUGAAGGAAGAAGGUUUUCGGAUUGUAAACUUCUGUUAUAAAGGAAGAACGGCGGCUACAGGAAAUGGUAGCCGAGUGACGGUACUUUAUUAGAAAGCCACGGCUAACUACGUGCCAGCAGCCGCGGUAAUACGUAGGUGGCAAGCGUUAUCCGGAAUUAUUGGGCGUAAAGAGGGAGCAGGCGGCA
rnacentral:rRNA from 1 species